GCUGCAGUUCACCAUGAAUCAACUUGAUCUCUAGUCUCCAAGAAUGUAGAUAAAAUUACCAGUGAAGCAUCAUUCUAAAUAGGAAAGGGUGUACGGUAUUUUCUUUUUCUGUCUUCCACCACAGAUGUAACAAAAGCUGAAGGACCCGGCCUGGCUCAAUGCCAUAACAUCUCUAGAAGAGCAGGAUUUCCAAGUGUUUGAAAGGGGGGGCUGGGAAAUGGGGACAACACCAGGGAUCAGCAUUUAAGUGUUUCUUCCAUUGCCUGUACUGUGUGAGGAACAAGACCAUGAAGCUCUGGGUCCAGGCUUUUCUCGUCAUAGAGGCAUUUUUAAAUGGUGAUAUUUAGUUGCCUGAAUUUCUGGGCAGAAAGAAGCUGGUGCAGACAUCCUGGCAUCUGCUGUUCUUGGAUAUAUAUGGGCUGGUCCCGCUGAAGCUCAGUGCUGUUGUGAGUCCUGAAUUAAGGUGGCCAGAGAGUCAUCAAGAAACUUGCUAAGGCCUUCCUCUCAGUUUUCGUUCUUCAGCAGUUCUGGGGAGAUGGGUGGAGGGGAGGUUGUUCUAGCAGUUACAUAUUUAAGGCAGGUGGCCAUUUUAAAAUGUACAUUUCAAUUUUGAUUGCAGUUUUUUAAUUGCAUUUAACAGCGUCCCUGCUGGUUCUCCAUUCUGCAUCCGUGCAGCCACGUUCUAUUGAUGGCCUGUUGUGAUUUCAAUGGAACAUCAUGGGAUGUACCUGGCACGUCGGGCAGCACUGGAUGGAGGUGCCUUUAGCCCAAUGUACCUGGCAUGCACUGUUAGUUCAUUGUUCAGGUGCUUGGUGUCUAGCCUUCUCAUCCAUCCACAAAUCCUCUAC
rnacentral:lncRNA from 1 species